GUCCGAGUAAUUUAAUGGCCAGAAUGGAACUGUGACUCAGUUCUUGUGGCGGUUCGAUUCCGUCCUUGGACA